AUCAGGUGCUCCGUGCUGGCCCUCACAUGGCUGAUCAGAGUGCGUGGGGCUAGACUCUGGCUGCCUCUGGUCUCCGACAGCCUGCCUGUUCAGGAAGUGGGCUUGUCAGAAUGGACACUAGCAGUAGACAUACCCAGCCUACUACCAGCUACCUGCCCACGUUGUGAUGCUUCCAAUGCCUCAGGACACCCUGCCAUGGUUACCAUGGUUACAGUGGCAUUACUGAUCCCCAGUUCAGGCUCAGGCCCUUGGGACUAUCCAUCUCCAACUUCCGUGACAGGCACUGCAGGGCACACUGAGGUGCCAAAGGAACUCUUAUCUUCACUGUAGUCUGGGGUCCACAUCAUGUCCCAGCCCCCAACUCUGGCAAUGGCCUCCUGCCACCUUGGAGGUUACUCUGUCCUGGUAACCCACCAACCUCAUCCCACAGCCAAAGACAGACAUUUAUCUUGCUGCUAGGAGCCUUCACUUCUGAAGCUGGGCACUGUGGGAUGCUGAGCAGGCCCUGGUUCCAGACAGAGCAAAAAUGUGAAGAUCUGUUGUGGGCCACAUGAUUGCUGUGCAAGCCCAGUGCUCUUACUCUGAUGGUGGGAUCCAGUCUGAAAGGUCUAAGUAUGCUGGAAAUGCACUAAGCCAGCCAGAUCCAUGACAUCAUAGCUUAGCUGCAGCAUAUUUUAGAGGGUCUGAGGUUCACCCUGGAAGGCAGGGGACUGAAGAGAAACUGCUCCUGAGGCUGCCUGGUACCUAAAGAGAACAUUGAAUAACUGUAGCUCAGGAAAAGAUUCAACUUCAAAAUCUAAAGUACAAUGACCAUGUACACACAUGUGUUUACACAUAGGCACAUACACACUCACACACAUAUACAUAUGCAUACAGUAUGCACAUACAUAAACCUAUACAUGUACAUACAUAUACACAUAAGCACACAUAGAAUGCACACACAGAGAUGUGCACAUGCACAGACACACAGACGCAAACACACACACAACACACAUGCAGAACAGCUCUUACUAACAUGCAUCAUCCUCACAUUCUCAGACAGCAAAGCUAUAAGUUGAGGACUGUCAAACCUAUCAUUGAAACAUGUCAACUGCUAGAGCGUGCAUAUCUGUGAGUGGGUGUGGCUCUGUUCUAGUAAAACUUUACUUACAAA